CUUGGAAACAAAAGCUUUUUAAAACUAAUAGCUGCUUCACAGUAGACUUGAAGGAAUAACAGACUACAUAAAGGCACUCAAAGCCAAAACAAGGGAGCCAAUGCAAGGAAUUGGUGUCUGCUGCACCCCAGGUUUCUUCCAGGAGCUGGAUUAAACGUGAAGAGAAUCACCCCAUCCAGCGAGUUUUGCAGUUCCGCCUUGUAGAUUCCGCCUCACCAGCCACCCAGAGCCAGUUAGGCUUUCCCCCGGGGCGGUGUCACAUGAUGGCUGGAAAAGAGACUGCUCAGCAUUCUGACUGCGAAUCCCAUUGCUGCCUCUUCCAUCUUUGA
rnacentral:lncRNA from 1 species